UACGGGGGGGGCAAGCGUUGUUCGGAAUUACUGGGCGUAAAGGGCGCGUAGGCGGUUUGCUAAGUCAGUUGUGAAAGUCCGGGGCUCAACCCCGGAGAGUCGGCUGAUACUGGUGGACUAGAGUACGGAAGAGGUAGCUGGAAUUCCCGGUGUAGCGGUGAAAUGCGCAGAUAUCAGGAGGAACACCGGUGGCGAAGGCGGGUCUCUGGGCCGAUACUGACGCUGAGGAGCGAAAGCGUGGGGAGCGAACAGG
rnacentral:rRNA from 1 species